rnacentral:rRNA from 1 species
AUGUUGAGGAUCUGCUUCUUCCUUGCUGUUGAAGAUCUGCUGAUGUUGUUGGUGAGGAGCUGGACCAUCAAAGGUGCUGGACGAGGAGCUGGGCUGGCUUUCGGCGAGAAGCCAACAAGGAUCACCGAGCCUGGAGGUUGUGGAAUACGCAGAUCCUGGGCAAGGAGCAGCGAGGUGCUGGGCGAGGAGUUAUGCCGGCUUCCGAGCUCAACUUCUCCUGGCCUUCUCCCCUGGCUCCCCUGGCUCAAGGCUAGCUGCACCUUGCCGACGACGCGGGGAAGAAGGAAGGCAGUGCUGGCGAGGUGCGCUGGGGCUGGUGGCCGGCGGCCGGCGAGGUGUGGUCCUGGGGCCGGCGGUGACCAGGAAUCUGGGCGGCGAUGA